UCUUCCAUUCUCUUUCCCCAG
rnacentral:miRNA from 1 species